CACCAGACUCCUACGGGAGGCAGCAGUGGGGAAUAUUGCACAAUGGGGGGAACCCUGAUGCAGCGACGCCGCGUGAGUGAAGAAGUAUUUCGGUAUGUAAAGCUCUAUCAGCAGGGAAGAAAAUGACAGUACCUGACCAAGAAGCCCCGGCUAACUACGUGCCAGCAGCCGCGGUAAUACGUAGGGGGCAAGCGUUAUCCGGAUUUACUGGGUGUAAAGGGAGCGUAGACGGUUAUGUAAGUCUGGAGUGAAAGCCCGGGGCCCAACCCCGGGACUGCUUUGGAAACUGUGCAGCUCGAGUGCAGGAGAGGUAAGCGGAAUUCCUAGUGUAGCGGUGAAAUGCGUAGAUAUUAGGAGGAACACCAGUGGCGAAGGCGGCUUACUGGACUGUAACUGACGUUGAGGCUCGAAAGCGUGGGGAGCAAACAGGAUUAGAUACCCGCGUA
rnacentral:rRNA from 1 species